rnacentral:rRNA from 1 species
AGGUCCCCAAGCGUGUGCUAAGUGGGAAAGGAUGUGGAGUCGCAUAGACAGCCAGGAGGUUGGCUCAGAAGCAGCCACCCUUGAAAGAGUGCGUAACAGCUCACUGGUCUAGUGGUUCCGCGCCGACAAUGUAGCGGGGCUCAAGCACACCACCGAAGACGCGGCAGUAGCUUUGCUACUGGGUAGGAGAGCGUCCCAUGCGGGGCGAAGCGGCGGCGCAAGCCCGCCGUGGACCGCAUGGGAGUGAGAAUGCAGACAUGAGUAGCGAAAGACGGGUGAAGAUCCCGUCCGCUGGACGACCAAGGGUUCCAGGGCCACGUUCAUCGUCCCUGGGUGAGUCGGGUCCUAAGGCGAGGCCGACAGGCGUAGUCGAAUGGAUGAACGGGUCGAUAUUCCCGUACCGGCAUGCAACCGACAAAACCGAAUCCGCGAGUACUAACCUCCGGGUCCGGGCUUACGUCUCCUUCGGGAGCCGGAUGCCCUGGCCUGUUGGGACCGUAACGGUAGUAGGUCAGCGCGGGAGUGACGCAGAAGGGUAGCCGGCCGCGGAGGUGGUCUUCCGUGGUCAAGCACGCAGCCCGUCCCACAGGCAAAUCCGUGGGGCGCGUGGGCGAGGUGCGAUGAUGGGCGCCGCAGGGCGCGAUAUCCGGUGAUCCCGGCUGCCGAGAAAAGCUUCGGCGUGAGGCGGCGUGCCGCCCGUACCCCAAACCGACACUGGUGGUCAGGUAGAGAAUACCAAAGCGAUCGAGCGAAUCCUGGUCAAGGAACUCGGCAAAUCACUCCCGUUCCUUCGGUUUAAGGGAGACCCCCGAUGGUGAAGCGGCUUGCCCGUGGAGCUUUUGGGGGUGGCACAGACCAGGGGGUAGCGACUGUUUACCAAAAACACAGGAGCGUGCGAAGGCGCAAGCCGCUGUAUACGCUCUGACGCCUGCCCGGUGCCGGAAGGUUAAGAGGAUCCGUCAGGCUUCGGCCGAAGCGGUGAAUUCAAGCCCCGGUAAACGGCGGUGGUAACUAUAACCAUCCUAAGGUAGCGAAAUUCCUUGUCGGGUAAGUUCCGACCUGCACGAAUGGCGUAACGACUUCCCCACUGUCUCGACCAGGAGCUCGGCGAAAUUGCAGUACGAGUAAAGAUGCUCGUUAAGCGCAGAAGGACGAAAAGACCCCGGGACCUUUACUAUACCUUGGUAUUGGCAUUCGGUGUGGAUUGUGUAGCAUAGGCGGAAGGCUUCGAAGCCACGGCGCCAGCCGCGGUGGAGCCGCAAGGUGAAAUACCGCUCUGUUCGCAUUGGAUGUCUAACCUCGACCAGUCAUCCUGGUCAGGGACAGUGCCUGGCGGGUAGUUUAACUGGGGCGGUUGCCUCCCAAAG